GUAAAAAAAAUAAAAUAUAUCCAAGAACACUAUGAUGGAAACUGAGAACUCAGCAUCCAACAAGCUCAAACUCCUCCACCGUUCCUAAUCCUCCACCGUUCCUAAUCCUCCGCCGUCGAAGAAGCUCAAACUCUCCUUCAAUCUCUCGUUUCCGUCGAAGAAGCUCGUUUCCGUUCCUAAUCCUCCUUCGUCGAAGAAGCUCGCAACUCUCGUUUCCGUUCACGAUUCCAAUCUCAGUUUUUGUAUCUGCAUUAAAAUGGCUUUUCAAAUAAAAAGGGAUUUUCUAUUCCAAAUAUUCUUGUUCCUCAGUAUGUUAAUGGCUGGUCAGAGUACCGAUACUGAUAUCUUGUGUUUAAAAUCCAUUAAGAAUUCCUUGGAAGACCCAAACAAUUACUUUCAAAAUUGGAACUUCAACAACAAAACUGAAGGUUUCAUAUGUUGGUUUAAUGGUGUUGAAUUAGGGAUUCACUAGCCAAAAAGGAUUCUUUAAGACCUAAAAUUGUGAAGUUGCACCCAAUUUGCGUGACUUUAACAAUGGUUGUGCUUUCUACAUAUAGUGUAUUUGAUUGAUCACCCGAGAGCAGUCGAUGCUUGCGAAUGGUACCAACACGUGUUGGGAGCUGUCGUUUUAUCCGAAAGUUUCAGCACUACAGGAGUGCCUGGUAAUAUAGCUAUGAUACAACAUCGUUACAUGAGGUUAGGCGAUGGACAGCGACGCACUAUUAUUGAGCUCCAAGAUAGUAUCCGACCUCGCACCGAGCAAUCAGACCGUCAUGGCUUUACUUCUCUGUAUUCUAAUGGGCCUAACCUAUUGCAUGAUAGAUUCAUCAACGGAUUAGGAGCGAACCAAGGAACAAGUUUAAUGAUAAACCGACAUGAGCAGUUAUUUUUGUCUAAGAUCAGGGAUCCUUUUGGUUUUCACUGGUUUGUGAAAACAGCGGAUCCAAAUCUCAUGUUACCACCAGCAUAGUGAUUUGGUUGCAUGGACUACAUCGACAUGGUCAUUGCCCGACUACAACAAUUAUGCAGAUUAUCACAAUACUUAGGGAUAGCUAUACACCACAUUUCUGUGAAGCAUGCGCCAACAGAAAGCACCUUCCGCAGCCCAAAAAGCACACACUGCAAUCCAGAAAGGGCCCUCUACGGUCCAGAAAGCACAACCGAUUAAGCCUGCAACGUCGGUUCAGGCACCACCUUCUCAGGCUGCAACACCGGUUCAGACGCCACCGCCAAUCCAGACUACUGCUGCUGAGGCUUCCAGAUUCAUUCCUACCCCAGGAUUGACAUUGCCUCAUCAAUUUGAGCAAGGUCCUCUCCAACACACAACUCAUGAUAUGGAAACUGAUUGUCAUCAUCAAGACGAUGAGCAAGAGCAUGAAGGGGGGGACCAACAAGAGGAUGAGGAGGGGGACAUCGAAGAGGAUGGGGAAAAAGACAACCAUGAAAAAGAUGCUUGUGGGAAAUUCAUCAUACGUCCCAUUGGUACAGGGCCGAAUAUCAUGAAAAUUUGGCCAAAGUGACACAAACUGAUGGUGGUGCUACUCGUGACACUCAAGAGGUUGAUGGAUCGCAAAGAAUUCAAAUAUGGAAAGAUGUUUCCAAGGGUAAGUCUCGGGGAAGAUGUUAUGGUACUGGACACUUGGCUAAAAACCUUAAGUAUAAAAACUUGAUUUAAGAGGCAAAGGCACCUCACAAUAGGGCAGAGAACCAGAUCAUUGAAGCUGCUAGAGCCGAGGCUGCUGCAGCACGUGCAGAUGCUGAGGCUGCUAGAGCUGAGGUUGCUGCAGCACGUGCAGAUGCUGAUGCUGCUAGAGCCGAGGCUGCUGCGUCAACUGCGAGAACCAGAUCAUUGGAAAUAAAGUUUGAAGAAUUCCAAAGCCGCGUGAUGGCUUUGGAGACGGCCUCCUGUAGUGGUCAUUCUCGUCAGAGUUCUCAUCCUCAUUAUGAUAAUGAAUUGGAUGAUCAAUCGGUUGAUGAAGAGGAAGAUGCUUGAUUUUGUUGGUUGUAGACUUUGGGUUAUUUUGAUGGUAAGUUUAAGAGCUAUUUUGAUAGGUUAUAUAUUUUGUGGGAUAUUUUGGUGGGUCAUAUAUUUUGUGGGUUGUUAUUUUGAUGGAUGUAGACCUUUUUGUUGACAUUCUAUAUAUAUGGUUAUAUAUGAGAAA